rnacentral:rRNA from 1 species
GCAUCAUGAUCUAGCCAGUAACCCCAAGCGAAGAGGACUCUAGUUUGAACCCCCGAAACCGGACGAGCUACUCCGGGACAGCCUAUUGUAGGGCCAACCCGUCUCUGUGGCAAAAGAGUGGGAAGAUCCCCGAGUAGAGGUGAAAGACCUACCGAGUCAGGUUAUAGCUGGUUGCCCAAGAAAUGAAUAGAAGUUCAGCCCCGCCGAACCCUUACCCACAACAGUUCUACUAAGCACAGGGACAAGGAUACCCACGGGAGUUAGUCAAAGGAGGUACAGCUCCCUUAACAAAGGAUACAACCUUCUCAGGAGGCUAAGGAAUACAUUAAGAAAAGGCUACAGGUUUCAGUGGGCCUAAAAGCAGCCAUCUGGACAGAAAGCGUUAAAGCUCAGACCACCCCAAGCCUAUUAUAACAUUAGACACACCCUAUGCCCCUUACCAAUACUGGGCCCUCCUAUGCACCCAUAGGAGAGACCAUGCUAGAACGAGUAAUAAGAAGAACGAACUUCUCCCUGCACAUGUGUAAGUCGAAUCGGACCCACCAUCGACAAUUAACGAACCCAACAAAAGAGGAACAUGCACCCUUGCCACACUAGGCCAAGAAAAGCACGCAAGCCCCUAUCGUUACCCCCACACAGGAGUGCUAAGCAGUAAGGGAAAGACUUAAAGAAUAAAAAGGAACUCGGCAAACCUAAACCUCGCCUGUUUACCAAAAACAUC